GAUGAACGCUGGCGGCGUGCCUAAUACAUGCGAGUCGAGCGAACAGACGAGGAGCUUUCUCCUCUGACGUUAGCGGCGGACGGGUGAGUAACACGUGGAUAACCUACCUAUAAGACUGGGAUAACUUCGGGAAACCGGAGCUAAUACCGGAUAAUAUAUUGAACCGCAUGGUUCAAUAGUGAAAGACGGUUUUGCUGUCACUUAUAGAUGGAUCCGCGCCGCAUUAGCUAGUUGGUAAGGUAACGGCUUACCAAGGCGACGAUGCGUAGCCGACCUGAGAGGGUGAUCGGCCACACUGGAACUGAGACACGGUCCAGACUCCUACGGGAGGCAGCAGUAGGGAAUCUUCCGCAAUGGGCGAAAGCCUGACGGAGCAACGCCGCGUGAGUGAUGAAGGUCUUCGGAUCGUAAAACUCUGUUAUUAGGGAAGAACAAAUGUGUAAGUAACUAUGCACGUCUUGACGGUACCUAAUCAGAAAGCCACGGCUAACUACGUG
rnacentral:rRNA from 1 species